CGUGCUUUUACUUUGUUUCUCUUUCAGUCUUUUAUGUUACUUCCUGUCUGCCAUUGUUUCCUUCCUGUGUCUAGUCCUUGUGCUUCCUCACGGCAAAUGUUAAUGAAGAGGCUCUUAAGUCACUGUCAAAAGAAGAUCUGCGGGACCUUUUCCCAGGGCCCGAACAUUUUCUCAGGAGAAAAUCUAUUUGGGAGGUGGUCCACCCUGUGUUUGAACUCUUCAAGCGAUUACACAAAAGAUUGCAGAACAUCAGGACCCCAAAGAAACCCCAAGGGCCUAAACCAAAAGGGGGGAAAAAGAGACACCUUCAUUUUGAAGAAAGCGAUGAAGAUGAUUUUGCCUCCAGCUCAUCCACCGUUAUUAUGUCGCCAAGUUCCAGCAGCCACAUCAGCAGCUCCCCAGAAAGGGAAGGGGUUCACCAACCCAUAAGCAGCACACCAAUGAAGCAGGCGGAUGUUGUUGAAGGCCAGCAGGAUGGCAGGAUACUUCAGGCACGACACUACAAGACUCUUCAACAGUUAUGUCAAAAACCCAGACAGAAUAAGGAUGCCAUGAAACAGAUCCUUGACCUCGAGUUUGAGGGAAGAAGGGCAUUUAUUGAUUCAGAUACGCUGAAGGAAUGUGACCGGCCGGCAAAAAUGUCGACGUUUACCCAUGCUUCAAAGAAAUCGACCAUGUCCUAGAGGAACUUAAACGAAUUUUGGACAACAGCAACCCAAACUAUGUGGCAGAGAUGCGACAGCGGUUGCUUGAAUUUAAAACUAAAGCAACUUUUUAUGGGGUGUUCAGGAAAGUCAUGAAACCGCCAAUGAAACUUUCUGCCGGAAAGGCCUGCAGUUCAGAAUAUAUAUUCAAUUCAAUUUAUUGUUUAAAGUGUAGUAUCACCAUGAACUUGGUCUCAGAAUACUGAUUCACAAUUGAAUAAAUGAAAUAAGAUUAUAGUUACAUAGGCAAAUCAUUAAUCAUCACUAGGUGGCGGGCCAAAGUCUGGGUUACUGCAUAUUAAGACGCUGCAAUAGGUGCACUCGCAACAACUAGGCCUACAUGGAGAAUGGAUAGGUCUACUACAAAUAACUAAUGAUAAUAAACCAUGUGAAUGAGCCCAUUGGUUGUCUGUUUGAAUAAUUUAAUUAUUUUAACGAACUCUGUCUUAUGCCCUGUCAAUAUAGCCUUGCCUAUUGUGAAUAAUAGCAAUGACGACGUUUUUUCAACAUUGAGCCUCCUAAUUAGACCUAGGCUACUACUUAGAGGCCAUCUUAGACUACUUUUAUUUCGAAAUAG
ensembl:lncRNA